UAUUGUUUUAAAUUCAUAUUUUACAUUAAUUUAUAUAGAUAUACACUUACUAUUGUUAUAAUUAUCAUUAUUUUUUACCGCCACACCUUGAAAUCAUGCGAAUAUAUUACAUCACUCUUACACAGCCACGAGUUCUAACGAAAACUACAAUAUCCUCGUUGUUUACCCUAGUGGCACUAGAAGAAUACCCGAGGAUAAGCAUCAUUGUCCUAUAUUUUGGUUUGAGCGGCUCCAGUGCAAUGCAACCCCUGCAUUCACGCUAAAUCAGACACUGUUCAUAUGUCUUUCUGUCUAAAACAAUACGAUUCCGUCAACUAUCAUCUAAAUGUAUUAAUUAUUGUUCAAAUUAUUUACAAUAUUGAACCUAUAAGCGCAUAAUAUAGAUAACUAUUACUUCUAAAAUAUUUUAUGAAUCCUAAAGCAUUUUAUUAAUUUGAAAACAUAAUUUGAGAAAUGAGGUCUCAGUAUGGGAAUGCAAUGGAAUUGAUUGGACAUAAAUGAGACAUCCAACGGGUUACCGCCGCGAAAAAUAUCCAAAUAGACGUGGAUUUUUAAUAACGGGGAGGACAAUCCCCUGCAACCCAAAUGAACUCGUACAUAUAUAUCUUUUAGGACUUCCAGUGCUACUAGGGUACACACGUGCGUGUUAAUAUCAUUCACACAGCAAUCGAUUUCCGGUUAGGUGGGCGGAGGAAUAGAUUCCACCGUUUAUUCACGUCCGUCGAUAUUCUUGUCGGAUUCGUUAUUAUAUAGUCGAACCAUCCCGAGCAGUUCACCUCUAAUUCGUAAACCGCACUUACGUUUCCAAAAGGUUUUACAAUUAAUUUAUUAACGUUCAAAUUAAGUAAUCAACCGAAAUCCUUAAUUUUCUAACUUCGCGCGUAUAAUUUUAAAAACCAAAUCGACUCUGAAUUCUAUAACAACUGUCGCGUACGUUUUUCGAUUGCUGUACGGCAAUAUUAUUGUCAUACGCGAAGGGAAAAAAAGAACGAUACACCCGCGCAGGCUACAGUAGAAUUAUUUUUGUUGUCUUAUGCUUGCGUUCGAAUGUCGUUAACUAUAACAAUGUCAAGUCGAUUUGAUCGUUAUCGACUUACCACUUGCCGAAUAAUAUUACUCAGCCCAGAAAGGAUAAUACGGAUAUCUCGUUUGCCAGCACUCAUAAUAUAAUCGUGUAACAUUAUUUUCUUCGGAAUACACAGGAUCAUAUUCCCGACCGUGUCGAGGAUUUAAUCGGUUUUGACGAGUUGAUUUUUUGUGUAACGAUCCCUCGCACUAUGUAUUCAUCGAAUACUGUUUAUGUGACAAGCACGCACCGGCACAAAUCAACGGCUCCCGAUAUUCGACAGUAAUUAUCAGUAGUUCGCUCGAGACCAUUAUGUAAGCGUUAUAAAUGCACAUAUUGUUUUUGAUAAUAUACUUUUUUUUACACAAAAAGUCAUCAAAGUCUAAACAUACCGCAUUACUAGUAGUUAUAAUUCAUUUUAAUUAUUAUUAUGGUACAUUUUUUUUUUAACCAGUUUAUUUAAAUGGUAUUAUAUUAUAUUUAUGAAUGAUGUAGGUACAUGAGAAAUUAUAGGGAGGUUUUUUAGUUUGAAAAUGAUGCAGAAAACGCUAAAGUAAUUAAAUGUUUCUUUAAAACUCGAAGAUCGUUAAUUUUUCGCUAACCCCGAGAGAUUUACACAUUUAUUAAUAUGACUCGAUAAACGUUGUUUAUAUACUUUUAUUAUUAAGUCUCCAACACGCGUACAAUUAUUAGUAGAAAAAAAAUAAUAAUAAAUUAGAUCGAUCACAUAAAAGCACACCAUAUUUUUGGUCAAUUUAAUUUGUUUUAGUUUUUAUAUCAGAUUUGGACAUUUACACGAUGAGUAUAUGUUAUACUACAUGUUUCUAUGCAUAGUUCUUAUAAUGUGGUUUAUGUUUAUGUUUUUUUUUUUUUAUACAAUUAUUCGAUGUAAAUUAGAAAACAACAGUGCAUAUAUUACUAAGAGAAUAAAUAAAUAAAUAUAAAUAUAUAUAUAUAUAACUUUUUUUUUAAUAAACAAGAAAUUCUUAAUACUAAUUUAAAAAAUAAAAUGUUUUCACUACUAUAACCCAUUGAAGAUGACUUAAUUUAAUAUACAAUCUCAAUUACUUAAAUUAAUAAAAAUAUCAGUUACCUAAAAAUAAUUGUGUUUAAGAAGGUUAUUUUGAUAGGAAAAUUUGUUGCCAGGUACACCUGUCUGAUUUGUAGUGGUAAAGGUUAAUACUGUGCGUGACUGGUGUACCAUUAGGUGUUUUACUUAAUCCAUAGUGGUUAAAAAUUAGAAAAUAUAUAAUCAUAAUAAUAAUAAAUAAAUUAGUAUAUCAAUUAAUACAAAUAACUAGAGAAUAAUCACAGAGUAAAAAUUAAAACAAUUUCAAUCAAUAGUGUUAGAAAUUACCUAAAAACAAAAAGCGGUGCAUAUGUUCUUUAUUUAAUGUUCAUAAUCCUUAAAAUGGAAACAAUUUAUGUUUAAGAUGAAAAAACCACUCUAAAUAUAGUACGAGAUCGAUGCAAAAUUAUGAAAUAAUAAAUAAAUAAACAAUAAUAAUACUUAAUAAUUAUAGAAUAUAUAGAAUAGAACAAUUUGGCGUUUGAAUUAGAGGUUUUGCGGAUGUUGAAAAACCUAAUAUACAUUUUAUAGCACAUAUUAUUGACUGUUCAAAUAAUACUUAAAACAGUAAUAAUAAUAAAACCGUUUGUGGUAAUGUGUUGGACGUAUGUUAGAAAGUUAUUUUUCUCGUGCAACAUCAAAUGUUAGCGAACAUUUUAUUUUUUAUGAUUCAGUUCAAUCGAAAAUACUUAAAACUAUCGUCACGCGAAAGCAAAAUCCGACUAAAACAUUUAAGAUAUAAUUUAAAAAACAAAAUAUAAAAACGAUCAGUGUGAAAAAACGAUUGAUUGAAUAUCACGAACGGAGUAGGUCGUUUUGCGCAAGCAUGUUGCUAAGAGGU